ACGCUGGUGAAGAUGUCCUUCUGGGUGAGGUUGGAGCUGUAGUAAGAAAUGUCCAACAAAAACCAAGUCAUGGCAGUCCCGAGGAGGUGCGACCCGUGGCGGCGAGCGAAUUCUGUGCUGAACAAGCCGAAGUUGUUGGAUCUAUCCUCCGCAAUCUUUUCCACCUUCUCUUGCUCGGACUCAAGGUCAACGUUCAACACCGUAGACAUGUCGGCUGCCGCCUGCUUAGCGUUCUUGGCCACGAGGGCGGUGUAACGAGCGGUCUCGGGCAUCUUCAUUCGCCAGUAGAAGGUCAUAGCGGCCGGGAUCGCACCAAACAUCAGAAUGAUCCUCCACACGUAAUCGGCUUGCCGAACGGUGGAGUAAUCGACUACAGUGGAGAUAAGCCUAGCGUCAGAGUACCUAGGAGCACCGUACUUUCCAUUGAAUGCGGCCGAGACGAUGAGGGCCACGAUCCCUCCAAACAAUAUCCCGAAUCCUUGCAUGGCGAAGACUGCGGCAAUGAACGCACCACGGGUCUUCUUGUUGGCAUAUUCGGACAUGAUGGUCGCGGACAACGGGUAGUCGCCGCCGAUGCCGAACCCGAGCCAGAACCGGAAGAAACAGAGGGUGGUCAUAACGGCCUUACUGUCGUUGCCUAACGAGAGCCCAGAGGCGAUGGAGCAAACGAACAUGAGGGCCAGGGUUAAGCCAUAGACUCGUUUUCGUCCCAACUUGUCACCAAGCCACCCGAAGAAGAGCUGCCCAGCCAAAGUGCCAACCAGUGCGACUCCGUUAACAGCACCUAGUACGCCGAUAGGCAAAACGCCGGGGGCGGAAGAUGUCUUAUCAUAGUAGUAUAUCCGGCCAAGUAACUUGGUGACGAUAGAUAUGCAAAAGAGAUCGUAUGCAUCGGUGAAGAAUCCCAUCCCCGCGAUCACGAUGGCAGUGAAAUGAUACCAUUGCGUCUUGGCCACAUCGAGCGCGUUAAGCACCCCCAGUUGGUUUCGAGCCAUGACUGGCAAUCAAUCCCACCUCUGUAGAAUGAAAGAUCUUUCAAAUCACUUUAAUGAAUGCACUGUACUCCUACUGUAACUUCAGCAGCGGAAUUACAAGAAAUCGAACGCGUGUCUAGUCAAAAUGUAACAGAACAAGAGGUUAAUCAUGAGCUAUCAGCUUCAACGGUUCAAAUUAGUAGACAAGUCAAAGAGGAGUGAAACUCUCGACACUUGUUUCGAAGCACGGACAAAGGCUAACGCGUUAAAUGAGCGUCUGAUUCGUGGAACCUCUCUCCCGUUGCUAUAUUGGGUGAAUGCUCUUCAGACCUAUUCGGUAAAAUCUAUUUCUGUUUCGCGGAACAAAAAUUUUUGUUCUUUCAUUUUGGGAAAUGUAAAAAAAAAAAAAUGUGUUUGAUUAAAAUUUAUGUUCCUGAGAAUAGAUUUAGAACAGAAACAAGAAAUAGAAAAAAAUAACUUUUUGAUAUCAAGAACAAUUUCUAAAAUCAAUUUUUUGUAUUUCUUUUUUCUUCUUCUCUUUCUUUUUUUCUUCUUAUUCUUCCUUCUUGCCAGUCGCUAGCUUUGGUCAUGGCUGGCGCCAACGACUGGCUAGACGAGGGCCAGCAACCUUGUCGGAGCAUCGCCAGCCCCCGAAGACAUCGAGCCACGGUGAGGCUUGUCGACUCAUGGCUCGUCGUAGCCGCACAAGGCUUGACCUCGUCCAUAUCUGGUAAGGCUGAGCUCGCCCAGCCUCCGGUGAGCUUGCUAGGCCUCUCUCUGGCCUGGCAAGGCUCCAGCGAGCUUGCCGAAUGUCACCAAUCGGUCGCCAACCACCAAAAAUAAGAAAAAAUAAUAAAAGAAUUAAAAAAUUAAAAGAAAUAAAAAAAAACCUAAUAAUUUUACCAAUAUAUUUCUAUCUCGAGAAUAAAAGUGUUGGUAAUUUACCAAAUGCUUUUUUUGUUAAAAAAUUAUUCCCAAAAAUAAAAACAGAAAAAAUCAUUUCUCAUAAAAAAUUAUUCUCCGGAACAUAAUGGUUACCAAACGUGCUUUUGACGAGGAAAAACGCAACCAGUCAACGUGUUAAAUGAGGGUCGGAUUCGUGGAACCUCUCUCCCGUUGCUAUAUUCGAUGAACACUCUUGAUGAGAAAAAACCAACCGGUCAAAAAAUAUACCACCGAUUGGGACAAAGGACACCAGCAUCAUCAAAAAGACUUCACUUAAACCUUUUAAUAUGAGCUUGUCCAAAAAAAAAAAAAAAACCUUUUAAUAUGAGAGGCAGCUAUAAGAAGAUAGGGACAGAUUGGUGGAUUUCCAAUUAAAGAAUAGUGAACUCCGACAAGUCCGGUACAGUUUAUUCCGAGAUGAAGAAAGAUAAUCCAACCAACCAGACGGUAUUCAUUCGUAUGUGUGACCUUCGAAGUCGAUGUUUCGACAACUCUCGGUCUUGAACUAUUGUCGACACAUACCAUUAAACGCUUGAUAACUGGAAACGCAGGUUUCACGUCUACCAUGUAGAUAGUUCCUUAGCUACAGUUACCAUGAGUUUCAGAAUUCAGACUACACUGAAGCAGAAAAAUUGAAAGGAAAAUUUCUCUCAAACUGUUGAGAAAGUCAAAUAAAAAGGCGAGUUUGAUACAAAAGGAUCUGCCAUGAACAAGCAUCGGAAGACUCUAAAGAAAGCACAGAGGCAAAAAUCAAAGCAUACCAAAGUCCACCUAUCUAUGUAGGAGGAAUUAUUUCCAUAUGAGUAUGGUGAAGAGAAAAGUAUCUUUUUGUUUUCUUUUGUUUUCUGGGAAGAAGACAGAGUUAGGAGGAACAAUAGUUCAGCAUAAAUGAGCAGAUCUAUAUUUAUCUCUAAUCUCAGAAAAGGAAUAAGCAUGAGGAUUACAUAUGUUAGAAGUCAAGAACCAUCAUUUGUUCAUGCCAUGCAAGAUGCUCCCGUUGAGUUCAAAGUACGAGACGCUAUAACACGCAGAGAGCCACAGAGAGUGCUAUGAUGGUCGCUAGAAAAGCCAUCUUUUUAUCUCAUGACCUUUCGAGCUUUAAUUAUUGAAAGAAAAGGGGAAAGAAAUCAUUGUGCAUGCAAAGCAGAAAGCUCCUAGGCAGAGAUCUCUCUGAACCUAGUACCACCGAAAGGAAAACUUGUAGUGGAGUCUCCACUCAUGGAGAUAGAGACACGGAGAGAGAGAGAGAGAUACUAACCAGCUAAGCUUAGCUCCGAGCAAUGAAUGGUGGUGCUGCUGGGUUGGAUAUGGAAUGAGUGAAAUGGGAGCAGGGAUGGUCGGGUAUUUAAACGCUUCUUUGGCCGGCGGAAUACUAGAAUCAGGACGGGCAUCUGCGGGCAUCUGUCGGCAUAUGCCUCAAAAUUCAAUGUCAACGGGUGACCUUAUUUUCAUUGGUUCGGAAUCGGGUGAGCUCAGACGAUGUGCAUUUUCCCUGGGAUUUCGCAGGAAGUAUCUCCUUCCCGUUACGCCAGCUGCAAAAGAACAAAAAAAAGAGCAAUAAAAGUAUAAAGACAAAAGAUUUAUUAGAGACAUUGCUUCUGCUUUCCGUGUGAAAUGACAAACAAGGACGGCCGGUGUUCCUAACAUUCACACCCAGAGAAAAGAAGUAGAGAAAUAUAACCUCAAUGAUGAUAAUUUAUAAUAUAUAUAUAUAUAUCUCUGUGUGUGAAUCAUAAUUGUGAUGUUACCUCUAAUCAGGUGGCCUCGAUCUUUGGUUGCACCAUCGCGAGCUCGGAGCUGGAGAAGGCAGUCAAUCGUGGAGGAGGCAAGGCAAAGAUCGACAGAGAUUGUGAUGGUGAUACGACUUGAUCCGUGGCGCGGGGCGGGGAGGAGAGAGAGAGAGAGGAAUGGUGGGGAUGUCACAUCUCUCACCAUGUUCCUUCUUGUGGGCACAGGGAAUCAAGAUGAAAGAAAAGUUAUAAGAAGCAAUAGGUUGCCGUGAGAUUUUUGGGGUGAACUUGGGACGUGCAUGCGAAAUCUUUACAUUAAAAUAAGUAUUGAACAGAGAAAAGAAGAAUUCAGGUGCAAAAUUAUAAAAUUAAGCUCGCAUUUACAUGGCAAUCAUCGGUCCCGGUUAAAAUAAAAGAAGCCAAAGGAAAGAACUCUGCGACGUUUAAAGUGUAGAGAAAUUUAUGUGGCUGGAGAAAUCGUUACCUGGCCUGACUCAGUUUAAGCAGUACACAACAUGUUUCAUGCGAGCUACAUUUAGAUAAUUGUUCCUUUCUGACCGUUUAACUUCUGGAAAAGGACCAUUUUGUCUACCAGUUUUUAUGUUUUUGUUCUUUUGAGAAGAACAAAAAGGUAUGCUGAUGCGUACGCUUGUUUUGUCAAAGCAUGUGAUCUCAGUCAAGCCCAUGAUGGUCUGCUUCAUUAUUUUGCCCGAGUGGUUUCGGAGCCACGAGCGCAAAUGGGCAGUUUCACAUCUUCAGGACCAUCCAGCAUUGAUUCUUUUCAUAAUUUAAAGCACCCUUUUUAUCUUUAUCGAAUCCAACGGAUCACACAUCAAACCGACUUAGAUUCCAGAGCUGCAAGAAGAAUUUGAGAGAUCGAAUGGGGAAAGCAAAUGAUCGACAGCUCUGGAGCGAUCCACAAUACUGCAGCUAUGGGGAGAUUGAAGGCUGUUAAAAUUUAAAUGUGCGCGGAAGCAUGGUUUUGGUAUUGAUGAUAGUUUUUUAUUAGUGAUGUUGUGUGCAAGUGUAUGGUAUAGUUUGUAGAGGAUGGACAAGGGAUAAACUAGGAUAAUUGAAAGACAAAUAACGUGGGAUAUGAGAAAUAGUUUCAUUAGUUGGAUAAAAUAAUUUUACAAUAGUUGAAGGAAGUGUUGGUGGAGGAGCUUCAAGAUAUGGAGUAUUAUCUCGUGCUCCUCUCACCCUCUUUUAUGUUUGUUCUACUAUGCUCUCCCAUCUUUCCUAUUUAUAGGGUGCUCUACCAACAUUCUAGAUUUGUGUAGAAUGUUAUCCACUUUGGCUUAAUCUAGAGAGUUCUAGAUUGUAAUUUAUCCUCUCUUCUUCUAGAGAGUUCUACACAUAUGUUUCUACAUUUUUCUCUUUCUUCCAAAAACUUCAUCUAGGGAAUUCUAGAAGUUUAGCAACUCUAGGAAAUUCUAGAAAAUGGAUCACCAUUUCCAACAAAGGCCUUGGUGGAUUUCAUCCUUUGUUUCAGUCAAUGGUAAAUUCAAGUGAAACAGAACGAAUCAAAGAUUAAUUUGGGCCCUAACUUUAGUUUGCUGAAGACAGGAUCAACAUUUCCCUGUAUGCUGUUCUGGUUUUGAGCUAUCUCAGUCUGUUCUGAGUUAUAGUUUUCAGGAUUUCAUCUGCUGAUACGGCAAUGAUGAGCACAGGUCACAUUACUGAAAAGAUGCACCUCAUUGCCAUAGUACUGAAUUCGGAUGCCGGUUCAUGUCGCGUUAUCUUUUCCAAUGUUCUAGCAGAUGCAGCGUGUUGUAGGAACUUAAUCUCAUCUGCUACACAUCAGACAGUAAAUGUGUGAAAAUACCAAAUUGAAAACAUGAAAAACAAACCACUCAUAUAUAAUACAUUAACUUGAUAGACACAUCUUUUUGCUAUUACUCGAAUGCAACAUGGACUUUUACUGGUAAAUUAUUCACCCUGCUUGACGAUUCCAUAAUAUUCGGCAACACGGGAAGUUUCUUCAGCACUCAAUUUCUACUACUUCACUUGUCAACACAAAGUCACGUAGGAGUUGAAAUCAUUCUGGGAGUGUUCUAGCAGUGGACACCUCAUCGUCCUCAUUUUCACCCGUGAGCUCCUCAAGCGACUUUCCUUUCGAUUCAGGGACUAACAGAGUGAACAACAUCCCCAAGAAGUUGAGCGCACCGAGCACGAUCAACGUGUUCUUUAUUCCAAUGCCAGGCUUGUAACCGGAGUCCGGGUUCUUUCUAUCCUGAGAAGCGUACAAAAACCCAAAGGACCCGAUGAUUGCCCCUGCCUUUCCCCACGCUGCUGAUAUGCCGUGGCAAGUCGAUCGGAGCCUUGCAGGGAAAAUCUCUGCUGGGACGACAAAUGUUGUGGCAUUGGGCCCGAAGUUGGCAAAGAAGAAGGUCAAAGAGUACAGGAUCACAAAACCGGCGUGGUUUUGCUUCCAGUGAUCGUAAGGGAUCGCGAGAAUGAACAAGAACACGGCCAUGAAGAAGAAGCCCAUCAAUUGGAUAGCGAACCUUCCAAUGUGAUCAAUGAAAGCGACCGUGAACCAGUAUCCAGGGACGGUGCCGCAGAGCGCAAUCAAGGUCUGCGCUUUGGCAACGCGGAAGACUUCGUCAAUCGCGUUUAUUGUCUCUGCUUUGGGAAGCCAACCCACGUUGGUGAAGAUGUCCUUCUGGAAGAGGUUGGAGCUGUAGUAAGAAACGUCCAACAAAAACCAAGUCAUGGCAGUCCCGAGGAGGUGCAACCCGUGGCGGCGAGCGAAUUCUGUGCUGAACAAGCCGAAGUUGUUGGAUCUAUCCUCCGCAAUCCUUUCCACCUUCUCUUGCUCGGCCUCAAGGUCAACGUUCAACACCGUAGACAUGUCGGCCGCCGCCUGCUUAGCGUUCUUGGCCACGAGGGCGGUGUAACGAGCGGUCUCAGGCAUCU
rnacentral:lncRNA from 1 species